AAGGAUCAUUAUUGAAUUUUUGAAGAGGUUGUUGCUGAUCUUUGAGAUACGUGCACGCCUUGUUCCAAAUUUCUACACCUUGUGCACAUUUUGUAGACCGGUUUCGUUAGAAAUUGGUUUAUGUUUUAUUAUACACACACUUGUUUUAGAACGUCAUAUAUAAGCUUGUUUUGCAAGCUUAACAAAUUUAAUACAACUUUCAACAACGGAUCUCUUGGCUCUCGCAUCGAUGAAGAACGCAGCGAAAUGCGAUAAGUAAUGUGAAUUGCAGAAUUCAGUGAAUCAUCGAAUCUUUGAACGCACCUUGCGCUCCUUGGUAUUCCGAGGAGCAUGCCUGUUUGAGUGUCAUUAAAUUCUCAACUUCAAUAAUUUUUAUUGAAGUUUGGAUUUUGGGGGUAUUUGCUGGCUGUCAAGUCGGCUCCUCUUAAAUGUAUUAGCUAUUAUUUGCGGAUAGGCUUUGGUUUGAUAAUAUCUAUGCCAUUGCCGUGAAGCAAAGUGACAGCUUCCAACGGUCAUUAUUUUUU
rnacentral:rRNA from 1 species